rnacentral:rRNA from 1 species
UACGAAUGGGGCAAGCGUUGUUCGGAAUCACUGGGCUUAAAGCGUAUGCAGGCGGAUUAACAAGUCAGAAGUGAAAUCCCCGGGCUCAACCCGGGAAUUGCUUUUGAAACUGUUAGUCUAGAAUCCCGGAGAGGUUAACGGAAUUCCGAGUGUAGAGGUGAAAUUCGCAGAUAUUCGGAGGAACACCAGUGGCGCAAGCGGUUAACUGGACGGGCAUUGACGCUCAGAUACGAAAGCGUGGGUAGCAAACAGG